AGAACGAACGCUGGCGGCAUGCCUAAUACAUGCAAGUCGAACGAAGGCUUCGGCCUUAGUGGCGCACGGGUGCGUAACGCGUGGGAAUCUGCCCCUUGGUUCGGAAUAACAGUUGGAAACGACUGCUAAUACCGGAUGAUGACGAAAGUCCAAAGAUUUAUCGCCAAGGGAUGAGCCCGCGUAGGAUUAGCUAGUUGGUGAGGUAAAGGCUCACCAAGGCGACGAUCCUUAGCUGGUCUGAGAGGAUGAUCAGCCACA
rnacentral:rRNA from 1 species